rnacentral:rRNA from 1 species
AAGCAUAUCAAUAAGCGGAGGAAAAGAAACUAACAAGGAUUCCCCUAGUAACGGCGAGUGAAGAGGGAUGAGCCCAAGAUUGAAAGCUGGCGCCAUGCACUGGCGUUCCGCAUUGUAAUCUCAAGAAGCGUUUAUCCGCUACGGACCAGGUCCAAGUCUCUUGGAAAGGAGCGUCAUGGAGGGUGAAAAUCCCGUGGAUGACCUGGAGCCGCCGUAGUACUGCGAUGCGUUUUUUUCUCAGAGUCGAGUUGUUUGGGAAUGCAGCUCAAAAUGGGUGGUAAAUGCCAUCUAAGGCUAAAUACAGGGGAGAGACCGAUAGCGAACAAGUACCGUGAGGGAAAGAUGCAAAGAACUUUGGAAAGAGAGUUAAACAGUACGUGAAAUUGCCAGAAGGGAAGGGUAGGAAGUCAGAGAUGCAGAGACGGGGCUCAGCCGGAUGUUUGUAGUGGGCAGCCGGUGCACGCCGCGGAUCAGCAGGUCAACGUCGGUUCUGUGGGCGCGGGAAAGCGGGGCCGGGCAACGUGGCAUUUCUUCGGAAGUGUGAUUAUAGACCGGCCUUUUGAGUCUGGACCAGCGACGGGAGCCGUGGUUUAGCAGCAUGAUGCUUCUGCCGGAGCGGCUGGGCGAGGGGCGUCAAAACCUUUUUUCCGGGAGCGAGGGCGGAGGUGUUAGGUCUUCGGGCACUAUUCAUGUUGAUGGCGUUGGCUUAAUGGCCGUCUACCACCCGUCUUGAA